rnacentral:rRNA from 1 species
AUUUCUUCGGAAUGACGAGGUUUGUGACUGAGCGGCGGACGGGUGAGUAACGCGUGGGCAACCUGCCUCACACAGGGGGAUAACAGUUAGAAAUGACUGCUAAUACCGCAUAAGACCACAGCACCGCAUGGUGCAGGGGUAAAAACUCCGGUGGUAUGGGAUGGACCCGCGUCUGAUUAGCUUGUUGGCGGGGUAACGGCCCACCAAGGCGACGAUCAGUAGCCGACCUGAGAGGGUGACCGGCCACAUUGGGACUGAGACACGGUCCAGACUCC